rnacentral:lncRNA from 1 species
UUUUUGCUGAACUCUGCUUUCUUCCCAGUCCUCUUCUCAGCUGUGGCAACCUUUCCACGACAUCCUGCUUUGACAGAAAGAUGAACAUGUUUACCUUUGAUAGGAUGAGUUUUAGCACCUUAGGUGCACCAGGAGAGCUGUCUACCUAUCAAGCCAGCUAGACUACAGCACAAGUAAGGAGUCUGGAAGUAAAAGGGAAUUUUUUGGACAGUAGUGGAAGAACUGUUACAUUUCCAAAUUUGUAGAGGGCUAUUAAAAAUUUUGGAUGGGAAAAAAAUUAUGGAUUAAUUACUAUUAUGAUUAAUAGUUCUCAAAACUGAUUUGCUAUGUGUUGCUUCAUUGCAGAUUCCGGAUGUAUAAGGUCAUUACUAGACCAAAUAUCUCCAGCUCAGGACACACCUUUUCUGCCAGAAACUUGCUUAGCUCCAAUGUGAAUGAAUUCAUAGCUAUCUUCUAAAACAGAGAUUUGGAGAACACUGAAGGAAGUGUACAACUUUUCACAGGGACAAAGAUGCAGCUUCAUCCUGGAAACUUAGAGAUAUUCCCCCAAAGCCUUUGUUUGCCCUAAUAUUCCAUAAUGUUAGGCUUUUAGAGUCGAUAACCCAUUAGUAAUCAAGAGAUGUAUCAUUUAUUAAUUAUGCACCAUAUUAAUAUUUAAUCUUUUGGGUUGCCGAGCAUAUUUCUAAAUCUACUUUUUAAUUACAUUAAAAAAAAAUAAAUCUUCAAGGCAACCAUUAGAAAAGUCA